rnacentral:misc_RNA from 1 species
ACCGAAGCCUGUAACCGCCUCCGGGCGUGACGGGUGGCUGGUAUCCUCCUUCUGAGGGGUGUAUGUUGCAGCUUGGGCCGGCCCUUAUGGGUCGCGAAUCCCCAAUCCUGCGGCGGACCAUCCCUUGGGCAACUCAGUGGGGGCAAUUGGAUGGCUCGUAGGCAUCUCCGGCGGCUUCGGCCCUGGAGGUGGCUCGGGCCGGGCGCUGGGCUUCGGUCCACGUCCCGACCUUUUAACUAGCUCUGAUACCUCUUCACUGAGGGUUGCCGGGGAUGCCUUUCGUCCUUCGGGGCGGAAGGCCUACCCGGGAAAGAUAGUUACCUGGUUGAUUCUGCCAGUAGUCAUAUGCUUGUCUCAA